UACGGAGGGGGCUAGCGUUGUUCGGAAUUACUGGGCGUAAAGCGCACGUAGGCGGCUUUGCAAGUCAGAGGUGAAAGCCCGGGGCUCAACCCCGGAAUUGCCUUUGAGACUGCAUCGCUAGAAUUGUGGAGAGGUUGGUGGAAUUCUCGGUGUAGAGGUGAAAUUCGUAGAUAUCGAGAGGAACACCGGUGGCGAAGGCGGUUCUCUGGGCAUGUCCUGACGCUGAGGAGCGAAGGUGUGGGGAGCGAACAGG
rnacentral:rRNA from 1 species